rnacentral:rRNA from 1 species
GACGAACGCUGGCGGCGUGCUUAACACAUGCAAGUCGAACGGAAAGGCCCUGCUUGCAGGGUACUCGAGUGGCGAACGGGUGAGUAACACGUGGGUGAUCUGCCCUGCACUUCGGGAUAAGCUUGGGAAACUGGGUCUAAUACCGGAUAGGAGCCAUCUUUAGUGUGGUGGUUGGAAAGUUUUUUCGGUGUAGGAUGAGCUCGCGGCCUAUCAGCUUGUUGGUGGGGUAAUGGCCUACCAAGGCGGCGACGGGUAGCCGGCCUGAGAGGGUGUACGGCCACAUUGGGACUGAGAUACGGCCCAGACUCCUACGGGAGGCAGCAGUGGGGAAUAGUGCACAAUGGGCGCAAGCCUGAUGCAGCGACGCCGCGUGGGGGAUGAAGGCCUUCGGGUUGGAAACUCCGUUCGCUAGGGACGAAGCUUUUUGUGACGGUACCUAGAGAAGAAGCACCGGCUAACUACGUG